rnacentral:rRNA from 1 species
AGUGAACGCUGGCGGUAGGCCUAACACAUGCAAGUCGAACGGCAGCACAGUAAGAGCUUGCUCUUACGGGUGGCGAGUGGCGGACGGGUGAGGAAUACAUCGGAAUCUACUUUUUCGUGGGGGAUAACGUAGGGAAACUUACGCUAAUACCGCAUCCGACCUACGGGUGAAAGCAGGGGAUCUUCGGACCUUGCGCGAUUGAAUGAGCCGAUGUCGGAUUAGCUAGUUGGCGGGGUAAAGGCCCACCAAGGCGACGAUCCGUAGCUGGUCUGAGAGGAUGAUCAGCCACACUGGAACGGAGCCACGGUCCAGACUCCUACGGGAGGCAGCAGUGGGGAAUAUUGGACAAUGGGGGCAAGCCUGAUCCAGCCGUACCGAGUGGGUGAAGGAGGCCUUCGGGUUGUAAAGCCCUUUUGUUGGGAAAGAACAGCAGCAGGUUAAUACCCCGCUGUUCUGACGGUACCCAAAGAAUAAGCACCGGCUAACUUCGUG